rnacentral:rRNA from 1 species
CAAUAGCGUAUAUUAAAGUUGUUGCAGUUAAAAAGCUCGUAGUUGGAUUUCUGGCUGGAGCGAUCGGUCCGCCCCGCAAGGGGUGUGUACUAGCGUCGUCUCCGACCAUCCUUGUGGGAACUGUGCGGCCGUUAACUCGGUUGUAUAUGGGAACACAUCGUUUACUGUGAGAAAAUUAGAGUGUUCAAAGCAGGUUUAUGCCUGAAUAUUGCUCUUGGAAUGAUAAAAUACGACUUUGGUUCGAAUGUAUUGGUGAUUUGGACCAGAGUAAUGAUUGAUAGGGACGGUUGGGGCUUCACGUACUGCAAAGCGAGAGGUGAAAUUCUUGGACCUUUGUAUGACGAACAACUGCGAAAGCAUUUGGCUAGGACGUUCCCGUUGAUCAAGAACGAAAGUUAGGGGAUCGAAGAUGAUCAGAUACCAU